rnacentral:lncRNA from 1 species
CUUGAGGACCAAGGCCAACGUACCUAGAUAGCAGAGGGGAAAGAUGGACAGAACCUGCAUCCAUGAUGACAUUCUGAGGCUGUUAUAUUAACCAAUCGCAGAAUCACCGUAUUUCUAGGUUUCUUGAUUGGCCCUGAGCUAACAUCUGUGCCAGUCUUCCUCUAUUUUGUAUGUGGCAGCUGCCACAGCGUGGCUUGAUGAGUGGUGUGCAGGUCUGUGCCCAGGAUCUGAACCUGCGAACCCCAGGCCACCAAAGCAGAGCACAUGAACCCAACCACUACACUACUGGGCCGACCCUGUUGUGUCUUUUAAACAUUGCCACAGCCACUCCAACCUUCAGCAACUGCCACCCUGAUCAGUCAGCCACCAUCAACAUCAAGGCAAGACCCUCCACCAGCGAAGCGAUUGCAACUUGCUGAAGGCACAGGUUAGCCCACCAUUACCACAGAAGUAAUGAUAGCAGGCAUCCUUGAUUCAUUCCAAUCCCAGAAGGAUUUCCAGUACUUUGUUGAAUAGAAGUGUUGACAGUGGGCAUUCCUGCUUUGUACCAGAUCUUAGAGGAAAAAUUACCCCAUUGAUUAUGAUGUUAGCUGUGGAUUUUUCAUAUAUGGCCUUUAUUGUGUUGAGCACCUCAUCCUGAGUGUCCUCUACAAGUGGUACAACCACCCAGACAUCAUAACCUAUUUGACUACAAAAAAGGUAAACUUGCCAGGUUCUAAGCACCUUCCGGGGUGAUUCAUAAAAAGUCAGAAUAACCCCAGGAUAAGACACUGGAGAUGGAGAGGAGCAUACGUUUGAGACUUGAGAGGGAUCCCGAGGUUAAGAAGCUUGGAAACUUUUUGAGAACUAAAAGAAGAUAGAUAAGCACCAGAAGAAGCUACCCCACAAAUUUAGUGGGAUGUGUCUCGGUGGCAUUCCAUCAGCAUCACAUAUGGAAACUGCAGUCCCUGCCUCUGCGUUUAUUCACGUGCUGGUCCUUGAUUUGAUUCCCAGUCCGUGUUUCUCUCAAGGUGUAUGAAGACCGUCCAGGAGAUGCUCAGCAUGGAUGGUUCCAGGGAAGCCAUUUCCUAUCUCAGUGUGCAUAUACGCUCUGACCUAAAGGAGUUCUCCUCACCUGAGGGCCAGGCGAUGGUGUCCAAG